rnacentral:rRNA from 1 species
UGAAGGCUGAAAUUCGCCUUCCAUGAAGCCGGAAUUGCUAGUAAUGGCAGGUCAGCAUACUGCCGUGAAUACGUUCCCGGGCCUUGUACACACCGCCCGUCACACCAUGAGAGUUGGGAAUACCCGAAGCCUGUGAGCCAACCGUAAGGGGGCAGCAGUCGAAGGUAGAAUCAAUGAUUGGGGUGAAGUCGUAACAAGGUACC